rnacentral:rRNA from 1 species
CCUACGGGAGGCAGCAGUGGGGGAUAUUGCACAAUGGGGGAAACCCUGAUGCAGCGACGCCGCGUGUGGGAAGACGGUCCUCUGGAUUGUAAACCACUGUCCCCAGGGACGAAGAUGACGGUACCUGGGGAGGAAGCUCCGGCUAACUACGUGCCAGCAGCCGCGGUAAUACGUAGGGAGCGAGCGUUGUCCGGAAUUACUGGGUGAAAAGGGAGCGUAGGCGGGACUGCAAGUUGGGUGUCAAAUCUACCGGCUCAACCGGUAGCCGCACUCAAAACUGCAGUUCUUGAGUGAAGUAGAGGCAGGCGGAAUUCCUAGUGUAGCGGUGAAAGGCGUAGAUAUUAGGAGGAACACCAGUGGCGAAGGCGGCCUGCUGGGCUUUUACUGACGCUGAGGCUCGAAAGUGUGGGGAGCAAACAGGAUUAGAUACCCCGGUAGUC